rnacentral:rRNA from 1 species
CUGGUUCUCCCCGAAAUGCAUUUAGGUGCAGCGUUGCAUGUUGAGCGUGGUGGAGGUAGAGCGACUGGUUGGUUGAGCGGGAUUAUGCGUCUUAGUGAUACCUGCCAAACUCCGAAUUCCAUUGACGUGUUGUGUGGCAGUGAGACUGUGGGGGAUAAGCUCCAUUGGUCGAGAGGGAAACAGCCCAGAUCGCCGGCUAAGGCCCCUAAGGGUGUGCUAAGUGGGAAAGGAUGUGGGGUCGCGAAGACAGCCAGGAGGUUGGCUUAGAAGCAGCCAUCCUUUAAAGAAAGCGUAAUAGCUCACUAGUCGAGUCGGCCUGCGCGGAAGAUGUAACGGGGCUAAGUAAUAUACCGAAGCUGCGGACGCAAAGUUUACUUUGCGUGGUAGGGGAGCGUUGUGUAAGUGGCUGAAGGUGAGCUGAGAGGCGAGCUGGACAUAUCACAAGUGCGAAUGCUGACAUGAGUAACGAUAAGGGGAGUGAAAAACUCCCCCGCCGGAAGACCAAGGUUUCCUGUCCCAUGUUAAUCAGGACAGGGUUAGUCGGCCCCUAAGGCGAGGCAGAAAUGCGUAGUCGAUGGAAAACGGGUUAAUAUUCCCGUACUUGUUAUAACUGCGAUGGAGGGACGGAGUAGGCUAGGCGAUCGCGGCGUUGGUUGUCCGCGUUUAAGCUCGUAGGCUGGGGGAUUAGGCAAAUCCGGUUCCCUAAGGCUGAGAAGCGAAUACGAGUCCUCUUUUGGACGAAGUCGUUGAUGCCAUGCUUCCAAGAAAAUCUUCUAAGCUUCAGGUUAUAACAAACCGUACCCCAAACCGACACAGGUGGUCAGGUAGAGAAUACCAAGGCGCUUGAGAGAACUCGGGUGAAGGAACUAGGCAAAAUGGUACCGUAACUUCGGGAGAAGGUACGCUCCCUCUGGUGAUCGGACUUGCUCCGUAAGCUGAGGGGAGUCGAAGUGACCAGGUGGCUGCAACUGUUUAUCAAAAACAUAGCACUGUGCAAACACGAAAGUGGACGUAUACGGUGUGACGCCUGCCCGGUGCCGGAAGGUUAAUUGAUGGGGUUAUCUUCGGAGAAGCUCUUGAUCGAAGCCCCGGUAAACGGCGGCCGUAACUAUAACGGUCCUAAGGUAGCGAAAUUCCUUGUCGGGUA